rnacentral:rRNA from 1 species
UUACCAGAGAUGGAGGGCCUCCGCGCCCCCGUCCCCAACCCUUUGUUGACCAAAACCUUCUUGCCUCGGGGGCAGAGCGGCCGCCGCCGCCCCCGGAGGACUACCAAACUCUGUUUCUGUACGUCGGAGUAAUUGAUUAAAUAUAUCAAAACUUUCAACAACGGAUCUCUUGGUUCUGGCAUCGAUGAAGAACGCAGCGAAAUGCGAUAAGUAAUGUGAAUUGCAGAAUUCAGUGAAUCAUCGAAUCUUUGAACGCACAUUGCGCCCUUUGGCAUUCCGAGGGGCAUGCCCGUUCGAGCGUCAUUAAACCCCCUCAAGCCUGGCUUGGUAUUGGGCGACGGGAUCCCCCGCGUCUCCAUUUCGCCGGCCGGCCGUCGUCUGACUUAGCGUUGUGAAACAGAUCGCUGACAAGGUCGACGAGCCGCGCUGUAUAACCCCAUCGUGGAUGUCAAAUGACAUUCAGUAAAGGUUGACCUCGGAUCGGGUAGGAAUACCCGCUGAACUUAAGCAUAUCAAUAAGCGGAGGAAAAGAAACCAACAGGGAUUGCCCUAGUAACGGCGAGUGAAGCGGCAACAGCUCAAAUUUGAAAUCUGGCGCAAGCCCGAGUU